ACCUUGCCAAUUAUUAAAGUUGAAGGCUUAUUGUGCGUCAUACCUAAUCAGUUUUUAUUUCAUUUCGGUGGGUUUUAUACUACUAAAAUAUAAUGAUUAUAUUAAAAAAGGAGCAAGCAUCUGGAUAUCUUUCGUGCAAAUUCCACCAAGCCGUAACUAAAUGUAUCCACUAUACAGUGAAACAAUGUCGGAGGCACACAAAGUUAAUGAGAACUUUUAUCACUGGGAAUAUUUUUUCUAACCUAAACUAUAUGGCUCAGCUUUUUUGAUUAAAUUAUGUUAUAAAAAUUGAAGCUCAAAUAUUAAAAUGAUGUAUAUAAGACAAGGUUGUCAAAUGAAAGGAAUAAAAAUAUGUCACUUUAAA